GACGAACGCUGGCGGCGUGCUUAACACAUGCAAGUCGAACGAAGUGGCGAACGGGUGAGUAACGCGUAAUCAACCUGCCCUUCAGAGGGGGACAACAGGUGAAAACGAGUGCUAAUACCGCAUACUGAAGGGGGGGAUUGCGUCUGAUUAGCUAGUUGGAGGGGUAACGGCACACCAAGGCGAUGAUCAGUAGCCGGGCUGGGAGGGUGAACGGCCACAUUGGGACUGGGACACGGGCCAGACUCCUACGGGAGGCAGCAGUGGGGAAUCUUCCGCAAUGGACGAAAGUCUGACGGAGCAACGCCGCGUGAGUGAUGACGGCCUUCGGGUUGUAAAGCUCUGUUAAUCGGGACGCGGUACCGGAAUAGAAAGCCACGGCUAACUACGUGCCAGCCGCCGCGUUAAUUC
rnacentral:rRNA from 1 species